AGGACGAACGCUGGCGGCGUGCUUAACACAUGCAAGUCGAGCGGUAAGGCCUUUCGGGGUACACGGGCGGCGAACGGGUGAGUAACACGUGGGUGAUCUGCCCUGCACUUCGGGAUAAGCCUGGGAAACUGGGUCUAAUACCGGAUAUGACCUCCCAUCGCAUGGUGGGUGGUGGAAAGAUUUAUCGGUGCAGGAUGGGCCCGCGGCCUAUCAGCUUGUUGGUGGGGUAAUGGCCUACCAAGGCGACGACGGGUAGCCGACCUGAGAGGGUGACCGGCAACGACUGGGACUGAGACACGGCCCAGACUCCUACGGGAGGCAGCAGUGGGAAUAUUGCACAAUGGGCGAAAGCCUGAUGCAGCGACGCCGCGUGAGGGAUGACGGCCUUCGGGUUGUAAACCGUCUUUCAGCAGGACGAAGCGCAAGUGACGUACCUGCAGAAGAAGCACCGGCUAACACGUGCCAGCACGCGAC
rnacentral:rRNA from 1 species